rnacentral:rRNA from 1 species
CUACGGAGGGUCCAAGCGUUAUCCGGAUUCAUUGGGUUUAAAGGGUCCGCAGGCGGGAAAAUAAGUCAGUGGUGAAAGCCUACAGCUCAACUGUAGAACUGCCAUUGAUACUGUUUUUCUUGAGUAUAGAUGAAGUGGGCGGAAUAUAUCAUGUAGCGGUGAAAUGCAUAGAUAUGAUAUAGAACACCGAUUGCGAAGGCAGCUCACUAAACUAUUACUGACGCUCAGGGACGAAAGUGUGGGGAGCGAACAGGAUUAGAAACCCUUGUAGUCC